rnacentral:rRNA from 1 species
UACGGGGGGGGUAAGCGUUGUUCGGAAUUACUGGGCGUAAAGGGCUCGUAGGCGGCCAACUAAGUCAUACGUGAAAUCCCUCAGCUUAACUGGGGAACUGCGUGUGAUACUGGAUGGCUUGGAUUUGGGAGAGGGAUGCGGAAUUCCAGGUGUAGCGGUGAAAUGCGUAGAUAUCUGGAGGAACACCGGUGGCGAAGGCGGCAUCCUGGACCAUUACUGACACUGAAAAGCGAAAGCCAGGGGAGCAAACGGG